GCUCACAGGGCUUGGCCUUCGAAUCCAGUUAGUUCAUGAGACUUACAAACAAAAGAAGCCAGAAUCUCUGGGUGUAGGCUCUCCAUUAUACUGGCCAGCCUAGAUCCCUCGGAAACCAAUCUGACACUGGUUCCCCGUUUUCCUAUGUUAUAUGUUCCUGUAAAGGGCAUAGAGCACCGAAUGGGCAUUCACACCAUCUCAGUAUUGACACAGCUGUGUUAAUGAAGCUACUGGAGUUGCCAUGGAAUUGAACACUGGAUAUACAUCUGGGAUUUUUCCAGUUUCUCCAGUUGUGCUACUGAUGGUACCGCUCUGACUGAAUUUAGAAAGCAGUAAUAAGUAGAAGAGAGCGUCCUUCUUUUUCUCUUUCCAAAAGCUGACACUUUGCGUCUUUAGCAGCUCCUGAGUGCCUUAGGAUAUACGGUACUGUACAGCAUCUUCCUACAAAGGGCCUUUUGUGUUACGCAGAAUCAAGGUAAGCACGAAAGAGCCUCUGCUCGCUUUAGAGUUCUGCGGCUCUGGAAGACUGAGACUAGCUGUACAUAAAUCAAGGCAAUUACAGAUGAAAAAGCUGCCAGAUUGUUUCCUAGAGUUUUCUGGAGUUUUGGGGGGUUGGGGAUUUUCUGAGUGUUUACUAUUUGACUUUAAAUGACUAAAGUGCUGGGGAGCCCACUGCUGUCUCUGAAGGAGCUAUUGCAUAAACUUCAUUGCUAGGAAUUCUUCCCCGAUUGUUCAGCCUAAAUUUUCCCCUGAUCUCUUUCAUUGUUAUUCAAGUCACAGUUCUUUGUUUUCAAAACUCUUCCUAUUUUUUCAUGUGUGCAUCUUUAAUCUACUGAUAAAUAUUUAUCUCUCAUAUCAAAUGUCACUUGGAAAAUGUUUUAACUUUUCAGAACAGCUCAAGCAAUGGUGCUGAGUAUCUUCCUGGAUAUGGAGAAGAGUCUGCCCUUUCCCAAUCAGAAAAUGUCUGCAGAGGUCCGGAUGCCGCCUAAUAUAUUGUUACCAUUCCUGUCCCUGAUAGGAAAGUCCACAUUAUUAACCACAGAUGGGGAAUCAAAGCUAUAGACACUUCAGCCCUGUUCUAAAGACAGAUAGAAUUAGAGUAUUAUACUGUAAAUGCUUAAUAUAACUAUUCUCCUCUUCUUACUGUUUCUUAAUGUAAUUUACUGCUGGAGCAGAAUUGAAAGAGUGGGAAUUCCCCAGGACUUUUUGGAAAGCAAUAUGAACUAGACCAUAUGGCUUCUGUAUGUAAGGCUUUGAGAAUUAGAUGUUAGUAAUUGUCAAUAACUUCCAAAAGAGAAAACAUGAAGAAUGAUUCUUUUAGUAAAAUAAGCUUUGGUGUGUAUUUAAAAACCACUGUAUUAAUAAUGAAUAUUAUAAAGUAGGAGAUAAUAACCAUGGUAGUCUUUAUACUGAGCAUGUCUCACAUGGUCAAAUAACCUAUUUUCCUAGAUCUGUCUACACAGCAGGUAAAGUGAAUUGUUCGGGCUAAAAGUUUAGAAACAAUCUUUCCUCUGAGAUGAAAGUUGGGGAUGAAUUGAGGCAGUUCACUCCAGGGACAACUCCUUCCAAAACAAUACAGCAUCUAAGGACCGUACAGAAGACCUGGCUCAAGCAGUGUGCAGGGAAUACAAUAAAGGGGUAUGUGUGGAUAUAGCCAGUUUGUACUAUCUCUCCUGGGGAACCAGAAACUUCUCUAUGAGGAGGACUACUACAGCAGCUGUAUACUCAGACUCAACCACUUUUUUUAGCAUUACAUUCAUUUAAAAAUAAGUUUUAAGACAAUGUUUAUGCUACUGUCUAUAGUGUCCUCUAUAAUCUUUUAGGAAAGAUUUCUCAGUCUUCAUAGUGUGGUUUUGAUACGUACUGUGUGUUAUCUAGUUCUUGGGUUCAAAGAUCCUUACAUACAAUUGGCUUAAAUCUGCUGGCUUUCUCUUAAAAAGGGUAGCAGCUUUCAUAGCAGAUGCAUCUCAUUCCUGCAUCUAUCAGCUGUCAAACAUCUUUUAUAUCUGUUAGCAUUUAUAUCUGACCGGUUGCUGGCACAUCUACUGUUGGAGAUCUCUUUACACAGUUUCAGAAGCAGUGCCUGGUUAUGUGCAAUUACUGAUGGGUUUGGAAGCCUCUGAGCCUUUAUAACCAAAUUGCCUUAUUUCUAUAGUGCACAUAGGAACAUUCGAAUUUAAAUCUGUUUUCCUUUCACACUACUUCUCUCCCUUUCCUAUAUUCAGAAUAAAAUUUUUUAGUUUAAAAAUAUGUGAAUUGGUCACAGAGAGUGGGUAGGGGUAAUAACAUACUAGAAAAGACAGUACGAAGGGAAUGGAUGUUGUAUUAACUUUACAGUUUGGGCUGGGAAGGGAUUGGGCAAAGCAGAAGAGGGUAUGCCAGUCACCUUGUCUCAAACUUUCUACAAGGACAGUGCCUCCCUUUUAUUCAUCUGAUUUCAUGAGGUUCCUCCAACCCCUCCCCAUGGCCUGCGUCAGGGUCCUGCCUGCAUCCCACCUCUUGGAGCUUGGCUGCCAGGGCUCAGGGUCAAUGUAGAAAUAGCACAGCUGGUAUAGAAGGUUGCAUUUAAGUCUUUCUUAAUAUUUAAGGGGUGCAUGUCAGCUUGUUUGUCAUCCCCCGAAGGUUGUGGCCUACAGCUGAAGAAACACUCUGUGUGUGUGUGUGUGUGUGUGUGUGUGUGUGUGUGUGAGAGUGUGUGAGUGUGUGCGCAUGCAUGCACACAUGCGCAUGUAUAACAGAAAGGAAGAGGGUGAAGCAAAAAGUUGUGAGACUGGUUGGGAUGAAAAUAGAGGCAGUUAUGCGCCACAGCUUAGAUGAAAAGACUCAGGGAGAUCAGCACGUGGCAGAGAAACUGCAGGCAAAUGCGCUCCAUUUCUUAGGCUAACAUAGCUCCCAGAAAUCUUAAUGUCUUCCUGCCACAGGGAAAGUAAGGGACAACAGCUGCCCUCAGUUUAUCCCAGUUCAUACUCCUGUAUCUGCAGUGGAGGAAGCCCUCCUAGAUGCUGGGUGCUACAUCAUGUAUGUGCUGUGCACACCUUUUAUGAUGAGUAUUCCUGUGCUUUUGUCUCUGUUGUAUUUUAAGAGAGGACUUGAAGAGGAGCCCAAGGCUGUAUUUGCUAGAGAGGACUUGAAGAGGAGCCCAAGGCUGUAUUUGCUGACAGGACACUUUGCUUACCCAGAGAAGUGGACUCAGAGCCAGGACUGAAUCAAGGCAGUUUUUAAAGGGGAAAAAUUGACACAGUUUACUAAUCGACUAUGAAUGGCCAGAGAAGAGCACAGAGAUGUCCUGCUUCCUUUGCUUACCUCCAGAGGACCAAUGCUGCUGUUCCCACUAGCCCUACCAGGGGAUUGGCCACAGAUUUUAUGCUUCUGUAAUUCUGGGAGUAUUACCUGAAGAGCCUGUGGGAAGAAACACAGUGAAUGCCCUUGCAUUGCAGAAGAUGGUCUAUUUGAAAACUUAAAACCAGCUCUUCUUCAAGACCUUCACCUUCCUCUGUGGAUGGUAUUGACUCUGAUAAUAAACAUUCAUAUCUGCUUUGAAUUACUUGGUCAAAGAAAAUACUUUGAACUUCUCAUUCAAGUUCAGGCAAAUAAACUUGAAAGGCAUGUCCACCUGAACACUUCAUAGAACAGAUGAUUAGAGUUGUGUGAAGGACUGAUUUCUUCACUUCAGCACUAAAACCAAAAUAUUUGCAGAGAAAAAAGAACGUCAUCCAAAAAAAUACUUAUAUCUAUUUUUUUCUCCCUGAAAUGAAGUAAACAACUAAAUUACAAUCAUUCUUUUUUUUAUAUUAUUUUGUGAAGAGCUGUUUCUUAACCUCAGACAAAAUGUUGCAUUACCUGCUUUUAAUAACAGAAAAGGAAACAAAGGCCAAAGUUUGUGAACUAAAAAGAGGAGUGAGUGUUUUGCCAUUUAAUAUGUAGAUUGGUGUUUAAGGGAUCCAGUUCCCUAAUCUGGGAAAGGAGAUUUGAACUUGAAGAUUUGAGGAGUGUCAACACAUGCUCAGAUCAAAAUAGGAUUUUGACAUGGGCUUCCUUCAAACUCCCUAGCUAGAACAAACUCACUGUCUUUCAAUAAUUGUUUGCAAGUUUUAUUGAAAAAAUAGAAUAGAAAAUGACACCACAUUUUCAUGGGUAGGAAACUCCAUGGUAGGAGACUUGAAGUCAGAUCCUGCUGUUGGAAUACAAAUCUGAACCAAGGACUCUCAUGUUUCCCUAAGAGUCCUUCUGUCAGUUGCUCUCCAAUCUGUUUUACCAGAUUUGUUCAUUUUUUUCUGGAAUACUUCUCCCCCCUCCCUUGUCCCGAUCCAAUAUCGGGGGGGUUUCAUUACGAUCCCAAGGACGAGAUUAAGACGCUAAAACUGGUCAAAUAGCGUACAACCUUUUAACUUUAUUUUCCAUGGAGCGGGGAGAAAAGGUGGGGAAAGGUGAAGGGGAUGAGAGAGAGAAAGAGAGAGAGAGAGAAAGGGGGAGAGAGAAAGAGAGAUCACCACCCGUGGAUCCAGCGGCAUCCCGUUGGUCCCCUUCAACCUGGGUGUAAAUUUUAGCGAUGCGCGUGCAGUAAUUACAACUCGAGCAGGGUCUGACCCUAGGUUCCCGCUGAAAAGUUCGGAGCCAAAUCAAGGCAAAUUAAAUAAAUAAAUUGUAAUGACACGCAUGCAGUAGUUACAGCUCAAGUUGGGUGCCUCCGAAGAGGGACCCCGAACAAAGAAAUUCCUGGGCAAUUAUACUUUCCAGUCUAAGCUCUCCACCCUUCACGCAGUAGUUUGGACCAAUAGUAAUAUUUAGGUCUGGGGUCUCCUGCUCCUUAUUGGGUCCCUAGGUAGGUUGUUUACUGUUGCGGUUUCUGCUGACAGAUGCGUUUUCAUUCUUCGGGUCUUGCCCUUAUCUCUCAAAGCCCUGACAAUUUAUUACUUCCCCAGCAGUGAUAGUAGGUGUUAUCUCCC